CGGGAUCCCUGAAAACCGGUCUCAGUUCGGAUCGCAGUCUGCAACUCGACUGCGUGAAGGUGGAGUCGCUAGUAAUCGCGGAUCAGCAACGCCGCGGUGAAUGCGUUCCCGGGCCUUGUACACACCGCCCGUCAAGUCAUGAAAGUGGGCAGCACCCGAAGACGGUGGCCUAACCCUUGUGGGGGGAGCCGUCUAAGGUGAGGCUCGUGAUUGGGACUAAGUCGUAACAAGGUACC
rnacentral:rRNA from 1 species